CUUUGGGGUUACUUAAGUCGUUGAGAAACGCUCCCUCAUUUAUUAAUCAAAGACUUCAGAAGGGGAUUUUAUGUUCCUGUGCUGCUGCUUGAUUAGCUUGGAGAACUUUUUUUAAGGGUUUCCCAUCUAUUUCCCCUUUUGGAGGACAGACAGAAGAUGGGGGUGGGCAGAUGCCUACCGAUCGCCCAGGUUUCCUGUCUACCAGUCUCCGGCAUUCUUCAUGAGAUGAAGAAAAUGAUACGAUUUCUCCAAGCACCAAGCUCUUUUAAAAUGUCAUUCUCUCCACCCAGGUGAGCUCCAGCAAGCAAGAGUGUCUGUCAUACACGUGCUACUUUCUGACUCCAGGGAGGCUUUGAGGAGCCCACAGAGAGUCAAGAGAGAAUACCAGAGAAUGGAAUCAGGAAGGAAAAGACACACCACGGUCAGAGAAGAAAAGCAAUACCUCAUUCAGAAGUACCCACGAGGAUGAUCACCUUACCCCUGGCUGCCAGGGACACCAGGCCUCAACCACCUGCCUCCUUCAGGAAGACCAAGGACCUCAAUGUGUUCUCAAUGAAGCAGCAUUGAGCUCUGAAGGGAAAGAUGAGGCAGAAGAGUUUUAGCUUAUUCAUGGAAGUUUUUCUUCUCAGCAGGAUUUUCUUCUGUUGG